GGUGAGUAACGCGUGGGUAACCUGCCCCAUACACAGGGAUAGCCAUUGGAAACGAUGAUUAAUACCUGAUAAUACUAAGAGGUCACAUGUUCUCUUAGUCAAAGAUUUAUCGGUAUGGGAUGGACCCGCGUCUGAUUAGCUAGUUGGUAAGGUAACGGCUUACCAAGGCGACGAUCAGUAGCCGACCUGAGAGGGUGAUCGGCCACACUGGAACUGAGACACGGUCCAGACUCCUACGGGAGGCAGCAGUGGGGAAUAUUGCACAAUGGGCGCAAGCCUGAUGCAGCAACGCCGCGUGAACGAAGAAGGCCUUCGGGUCGUAAAAUUCUUUUCUUAGGGAAGAAAAAUGACGGUACCUAAGGAAUAAGCACCGGCUAAAUACGUGCCAGCAGCCGCGGUAAUACGUAUGGUGCAAGCGUUAUCCGGAAUCACUGGGCGUAAAGGGUACGUAGGCGGUUUUGCAAGUCAGAAGUGAAAGGCUACGGCUCAA
rnacentral:rRNA from 1 species